rnacentral:rRNA from 1 species
UGGUGCCAGCAGCCGCGGUAAUUCCAGCUCCAAUAGCGUAUAUUAAAGUUGUUGCAGUUAAAAAGCUCGUAGUUGAAUUUCGGGGUUAGUAAGUUGGUCAUGCCUUCGGUAUGAACUGGCUUUACUGAUUCCUCCUUCUUGAUGAACUGUAAUGUCAUUAAUUUGGUGUUGCAGGGAAUCAGGACUGUUACUUUGAAAAAAUUAGAGUGUUUAAAGCAGGCAUAAGCUUGAAUACAUUAGCAUGGAAUAAUGAAAUAGGACGUUUGAUCCUAUUUUGUUGGUUUCUAGGAUUGACGUAAUGAUUAAUAGGGAUAGUUGGGGGCAUUAGUAUUCAAUUGUCAGAGGUGAAAUUCUUGGAUUUAUUGAAGACUAACUACUGCGAAAGCAUUUGCCAAGGAUGUUUUCAUUAAUCAAGAACGAAAGUUAGGGGAUCGAAGACGAUCAGAUACCGUCGUAGUCUUAACCAUAAACUAUGCCGACUAGGGA